ACCUGGCUGGCUCAGUUGGUGGAGUAUGCGACUUUUAAUAUCAAGGUCAUGAGUUCAAGCCUCAUGUUGGGUG
rfam:Canis lupus familiaris chromosome 24, whole genome shotgun sequence.